UGGGGUAGAGAGUAGGGGGCGGUAGUCGGGGGUGGUGGGAGAAGGAGGAGGCGGCGGCGGCGGCGAAUCACUUAUAAAUGGCGCCGAAGCAGGAUCCGAAGCCUAAAUUCCAGGAGGGUGAGAGAGUGCUGUGCUUCCAUGGGCCUCUUCUUUAUGAAGCAAAGUGUGUAAAGGUUGCCAUAAAGGAUAAACAAGUGAAAUACUUUAUACAUUACAGUGGUUGGAAUAAAAAAAGUGCUGUGAGGCCCAGGCGCUCUGAAAAAACUUUGAAGACACGUGAGGAUAUUGUAGCACUUUUUCCUGUUCCUGAAGGAGCUCCCUCAGUACACCACCCCCUCCUGACCUCUAGUUGGGAUGAAUGGGUUCCAGAAAGCAGAGUACUCAAAUACGUGGACACCAAUUUGCAGAAACAACGAGAACUUCAAAAAGCCAAUCAGGAGCAGUAUGCAGAGGGGAAGAUGAGAGGGGCUGCCCCUGGAAAGAAGACUUCUGGUCUGCAACAGAAAAAUGUUGAAGUGAAAACAAAAAAGAACAAACAGAAAACACCUGGAAAUGGAGAUGGUGGCAGUACCAGUGAGACACCUCAGCCUCCUCGCAAGAAAAGGGCCCGUGUAGAUCCUACUGUUGAAAAUGAGGAAACAUUCAUGAACAGAGUUGAAGUUAAAGUAAAGAUUCCUGAAGAACUAAAACCAUGGCUUGUUGAUGACUGGGACUUAAUUACCCGGCAAAAACAGCUCUUUUAUCUUCCUGCCAAGAAGAAUGUGGAUUCCAUUCUAGAGGAUUAUGCAAAUUACAAGAAAUCUCGAGGAAACACAGAUAAUAAGGAGUACGCUGUUAAUGAAGUUGUGGCAGGGAUCAAGGAAUACUUCAAUGUAAUGUUGGGCACUCAGCUGCUCUACAAAUUUGAGAGACCACAGUAUGCUGAAAUCCUCGCAGAUCACCCUGAUGCGCCCAUGUCCCAGGUGUAUGGAGCGCCACAUCUACUGAGAUUAUUUGUACGUAUUGGAGCAAUGUUGGCCUAUACACCUCUGGAUGAGAAGAGCCUUGCUUUAUUACUGAAUUAUCUUCAUGAUUUCCUAAAAUACCUGGCAAAGAACUCUGCAACUUUGUUUAGUGCCAGCGAUUAUGAAGUGGCUCCUCCUGAGUACCAUCGGAAAGCUGUGUGAGGCGCUUAUACUCACUCGUUUGGAUCUCUUUUAUUACAAGCUAUUGAAUAUAGUUCCCUGUGCUGUCUUCAGAGGAGGCAGAAAGAAAACUCGGUUGGAAGCCUCAUGGGAGCUCCUUAGGGCCAAAGAUGUGUACCGUAAACCUCAGAUCUCUAGACCUCAGCACAGGGCCUAUAUGGAGGGGUCAAGAGAUGGUGACUGAGACAAAUGAGGCAGCUUCUUCCCUGUACCAGACUGUCUUCUGGAUCCUUGGAGUUAAGUGCAUUUGGAAUGUUUUCAUCCCGGUUGGAUAGAACCUUGCCUGCUGCUCUCUUUAAAUCCAAACAGCACCAAGGCAUGGGUCAUUUUUCCUGUUUCACAACAGUCAUGGCCACGGGGAUGCCGGGAGCAUCUUUGUAUUCUCCCAGGAGCCUGGUGUAGGAGGGGAGUUGCAAACAGCUGACACUCGGUAGUUGUUUGGUAACUGAAGGAGAGGGUGGGAAUUGGCCUUUGCAAGUCCCCUUUAUAGGAGAUCCAUGAUCACCUUGUGGGUUUGAGGGCUGCAGACAUCCUGGGAGCUUGUGGAGAGAAAGCCUGCAUCCAAGUCCAAGCCCAUAAUCUGUAAUGAGCUAGGAAACCCCCCAGAUGAGGUUAAUUUUGAAAAUGGUUAUUUGCUUUUCUGUGGUAAUUUGAAUUUCUCUGAAACCUCAUCCAGAAUCUUUCUCUAAAAUGAAUGACUUAAUAAAAAUAUGAUUAUUAAUAACAUGUUGGUUAUAUUGGUUCAUUAAUUUCAACAAAUAUUACAUACUAUUGCAAGAUAGUAAUAAUAGAGAAAACUGGGUGUGGGAUAUAUUGAAGCUCUUUGUAUUUUCACAAUAAUUCUGUAAAUCUAAAACUUAAAAAAUUUUUAAAGUUUACUUUAAAAAAGGAUAUGCUGAGUGAAGAUUCAGGUUAAGCUGUUUUUCCAAAUAGCUAUCCAAUUUCCUAGCUCCUUUUUUUGAACAGAAAAAAUUGAUUUGUCUGUCUGCUAGUUAUGUAUAGAAUUCUCAUAAUCUGGGUGUUAGUCUACUCUUAACUGAUACCCUCUUUUAAGUGUUGACUUUUUUUUUUUUUUUUUUUUUUUUGCGGUACGCGGGCCUCUCACUGCUGUGGCCUCUCCCGUUGCGGAGCACAGGCUCCGGACACGCAGUAUAAGCGGCCAUGGCUCAUGGGCCCAGCUGCUCUGCGGCAUGUGGGAUCUUCCCGGACCGGGACACGAACCCACGUCCCCUGCAUCGGCAGGCGGACUCUCAACCACUGCGCCACCAGGGAAGCCCUAAGUGUUGACAUUUUAUACAUUUUGAUAUGUGAAAAAGUCCAUUUUCAUUGCUCAGUUAUAAAAUCUUAUCCAUCUUGGGCUUUUUCUCCCCAGGUAAAUAGAAAGUAUCAAAAAAUUAUAUUGGGAUUUUAGAUGGAAAUGUACCAAACCUGUAUUUUUAUUUUGGGCAAGAAUCAAUUUAUUUGUUAAUCUUUCAAAUUCAAGAAUAUGGUAUGCUUCUCAAUUUAUUCAAGUCUUUACAGUUUUUAGUAAUUUAAUCAUUUUCUUCAUGUAGGACUUUUGUGUGUGUGUGGUUAUUCCUGGCUACUAGUUUUGUUGCUACAGUAUAAAAUAUUUUUCUUCUGAGUUUUGUUGAAGGAUUUUGAUUUUUUUGUAUCUGUAUCUGGUAAGCAGCCACUCUCUGAACUCUUUUCAUUAGUUGUGAGUUUUAAUGUAUAACCUCUUGAAUGUUUUUAGCCACAUUAGUAUACUGUCUGCACAUAUUAAUGUGGUUUAUUCCUUAUCACAGCAGCCAGACCUUCCAGAUUAAUGUUAAGCAACUGUACUGAUCUUGGGCCUAUUUGUUCCAUGUCUGCCUUUAAUGGAACUCCUUUUAUAUCACUGCCCUGGGUUUGGGGAUCUUUCUUGUAUUAAGGAAUUAUGCUUUCAUUUCAUGUUAGUGUUUUUUAAAAAUCUAGAGUAGAUUAACUAGAAUAAAAUAGAUUGAAUUUCA